rnacentral:rRNA from 1 species
AACGAACGCUGGCGGCAGGCCUAACACAUGCAAGUCGAACGCCGUAGCAAUACGGAGUGGCAGACGGGUGAGUAACGCGUGGGAACCUACCUUACGGUCGGGAAUAGCUCAGGGAAACUUGGGGUAAUACCGGAUAAGCCCUUACGGGGAAAGAUUUAUCGCCGUUAGAUGGGCCCGCGUAGGAUUAGCUAGUUGGUGAGGUAAUGGCUCACCAAGGCGACGAUCCUUAGCUGGUCUGAGAGGAUGAUCAGCCACACUGGGACUGAGACACGGCCCAGACUCCUACGGGAGGCAGCAGUGGGGAAUAUUGGACAAUGGGCGCAAGCCUGAUCCAGCCAUGCCGCGUGAGUGACGAAGGCCUUAGGGUUGUAAAGCUCUUUUGGCGGGGAAGAUAAUGACGGUACCCGCAGAAUAAGCUCCGGCUAACUUCGUGCCAGCAGCCGCGGUAAAAUCACGUCGUACGUACGUAGCGGGCGGUCGGUCGAACGGACGGCGACUAAGAG